rnacentral:rRNA from 1 species
GAUGAACGCUGGCGGCGUGCCUAAUACAUGCAAGUCGAGCGAACGGACGAGAAGCUUGCUUCUCUGAUGUUAGCGGCGGACGGGUGAGUAACACGUGGAUAACCUACCUAUAAGACUGGGAUAACUUCGGGAAACCGGAGCUAAUACCGGAUAAUAUUUUGAACCGCAUGGUUCAAAAGUGAAAGACGGUCUUGCUGUCACUUAUAGAUGGAUCCGCGCUGCAUUAGCUAGUUGGUAAGGUAACGGCUUACCAAGGCAACGAUGCAUAGCCGACCUGAGAGGGUGAUCGGCCACACUGGAACUGAGACACGGUCCAGACUCCUACGGGAGGCAGCAGUAGGGAAUCUUCCGCAAUGGGCGAAAGCCUGACGGAGCAACGCCGCGUGAGUGAUGAAGGUCUUCGGAUCGUAAAACUCUGUUAUUAGGGAAGAACAUAUGUGUAAGUAACUGUGCACAUCUUGACGGUACCUAAUCAGAAAGCCACGGCUAACUACGUGCCAGCAGCCGCGGUAAUACGUAGGUGGCAAGCGUUAUCCGGAAUUAUUGGGCGUAAAGCGCGCGUAGGCGGUUUUUUAAGUCUGAUGUGAAAGCCCACGGCUCAACCGUGGAGGGUCAUUGGAAACUGGAAAACUUGAGUGCAGAAGAGGAAAGUGGAAUUCCAUGUGUAGCGGUGAAAUGCGCAGAGAUAUGGAGGAACACCAGUGGCGAAGGCGACUUUCUGGUCUGUAACUGACGCUGAUGUGCGAAAGCGUGGGGAUCAGACAGGAUUAGAUACCCUGGUAGUCCACGCCGUAAACGAUGAGUGCUAAGUGUUAGGGGGUUUCCGCCCCUUAGUGCUGCAGCUAACGCAUUAAGCACUCCGCCUGGGGAGUACGACCGCAAGGUUGAAACUCAAAGGAAUUGACGGGGACCCGCACGAGCGGUGGAGCAUGUGGUUUAAUUCGAAGCAACGCGAAGAACCUUACCAAAUCUUGACAUCCUUUGACAACUCUAGAGAUAGAGCUUUCCCCUUCGGGGGACAAAGUGACAGGUGGUGCAUGGUUGUCGUCAGCUCGUGUCGUGAGAUGUUGGGUUAAGUCCCGCAACGAGCGCAACCCUUAAGCUUAGUUGCCAUCAUUAAGUUGGGCACUCUAAGUUGACUGCCGGUGACAAACCGGAGGAAGGUGGGGAUGACGUCAAAUCAUCAUGCCCCUUAUGAUUUGGGCUACACACGUGCUACAAUGGACAAUACAAAGGGCAGCGAAACCGCGAGGUCAAGCAAAUCCCAUAAAGUUGUUCUCAGUUCGGAUUGUAGUCUGCAACUCGACUACAUGAAGCUGGAAUCGCUAGUAAUCGUAGAUCAGCAUGCUACGGUGAAUACGUUCCCGGGUCU